rnacentral:snoRNA from 1 species
GCCGAUGACGAGCGUUAGCCACUCUGAUGAGAUGAAGAAAAGAGGGUUACCUGAGG